rnacentral:rRNA from 1 species
AUUGAACGCUGGCGGCAUGCUUUACACAUGCAAGUCGAACGGCAGCGCGGGCUUCGGCCUGGCGGCGAGUGGCGAACGGGUGAGUAAUACAUCGGAACGUGCCCAAUAGUGGGGGAUAGCUCGGCGAAAGCCGGAUUAAUACCGCAUACGACCUGAGGGUGAAAGCGGGGGAUCUUCGGACCUCGCGCUAUUGGAGCGGCCGAUGGCAGAUUAGCUAGUUGGUGGGGUAAAGGCCUACCAAGGCGACGAUCUGUAGCUGGUCUGAGAGGACGACCAGCCACACUGGGACUGAGACACGGCCCAGACUCCUACGGGAGGCAGCAGUGGGGAAUUUUGGACAAAGGGCGAAAGCCUGAUCCAGCAAUGCCGCGUGUGUGAUGAAGGCCUUCGGGUUGUAAAGCACUUUUGGCGGGAACGAAAAGGACUGUGCCAAUACCACGGUUCGAUGACGGUACCCGCAGAAUAAGCACCGGCUAACUACGUG